rnacentral:rRNA from 1 species
ACACAUGCAAGUCGAACGAUGAUCCCUNGCUUGCUGGGGGGAUUAGUGGCGAACGGGUGAGUAACACGUGAGUAACCUGCCCUUGACUCUGGGAUAAGCCUGGGAAACUGGGUCUAAUACUGGAUAUGACUGACUAUCGCAUGGUGGUUGGUGGAAAGCUUUUGUGGUUUUGGAUGGACUCGCGGCCUAUCAGCUUGUUGGUGGGGUAAUGGCCUACCAAGGCGACGACGGGUAGCCGGCCUGAGAGGGUGGACGGCCACACUGGGACUGAGACACGGCCCAGACUCCUACGGGAGGCAGCAGUGGGGAAUAUUGCACAAUGGGCGCAAGCCUGAUGCAGCGACGCCGCGUGAGGGAUGAAGGCCUUCGGGUUGUAAACCUCUUUCAGUAGGGAAGAAGCGAAAGUGACGGUACCUGCAGAAGAAGCGCCGGCUAACUACGUGCCAGCAGCCGCGGUAAUACGUAGGGCGCAAGCGUUAUCCGGAAUUAUUGGGCGUAAAGAGCUCGUAGGCGGUUUGUCGCGUCUGCCGUGAAAGUCCGGGGCUUAACUCCGGAUCUGCGGUGGGUACGGGCAGACUUGAGUGAUGUAGGGGAGACUGGAAUUCCUGGUGUAGCGGUGAAAUGCGCAGAUAUCAGGAGGAACACCGAUGGCGAAGGCAGGUCUCUGGGCAUUAACUGACGCUGAGGAGCGAAAGCAUGGGGAGCGAACAGGAUUAGAUACCCUGGUAGUCCAUGCCGUAAACGUUGGGCACUA